AGAGCGAGCCGUGCUGCCGCGGCGCGAUUAUUCGAUCGCGAGCGAUCGUAAGAAAGCGUCGAGGAAAGUCCGGGCUCAUGAGGGCGCGAUGCCGGUUAACGUCCGGGGCGAUGUCAGACCGACCCGUAGGGGUCAAGGCUGAUAUUGUACAGAGAGUGCCACAGAGAAUAUACCGCCAGCGAUGGUAAGGGUGAAAAGGCGGGGUAAGAGCCCACCGCAUGUCCAGCAAUGGACAUGGCAUGGCAAACCUCAUCGUGAGCAAGGCCGAACAGCGGUGAAUGGCCCGUUCCGUUCCGCGCAAGCGGAAUAAAACCGCGGGUAGGUCGCUUGACAGUGGACGGCAACGUCCACUGCAGAGGGAUGGCAGCGACGCGGGAUUUCUCGCGUACAGAACCCGGCUUACAGGCUCGCUCUUUUU
rnacentral:RNase_P_RNA from 1 species